AUUGCAACUUGCAAACGAUAAGAAUUGGGAAUGGAGGAGUCGGGAUUCAGAUUCUUGCGUUGUUCGAUAGAGUAUCAUUAUUUUGUUUCCGUUUUUGUUAUUGUCUUGGGAUUAAGCAGAUUCUUGUGAGGCGAGGAGCUUUUUGAUCGUUCGGAUCAAGGUCUGUCCGGCGCAGGAAUUGCAGGUUCACCAGGAAACUAAGAUGGAAAUUCUAAAGGGAGCAAGUAUCUACCACCCUGACACUUGUGCAAAAUAUAUUGGAGUUUCUGCUCCAGUUAUCACUCAUAACAUUACAAAGACCUUGUGCCUACAAAGUGAAGGAUGGGGAUACAAACAUAGAUGCAAAAGCAUACUUUAAGUUGGCGUUCAGUUUGGUGACAUAUCUCCGCAACCUUAUCGUAAGAAACAAUGGUGUGUUCAUUGUAGUUUCAAUUCCUCUUCUGAUGGUAAUGGAAGCAUGGCUGGCAAUUCAAUGCAAAUGAUGAGGACUAUGUAAACUCCACUGUAAUUGAAGCUAGUAAUAUCUUUGAAUCUACGAUCCUUUCUGAUGUUCUAGACCUGGCAUAACUUUUUGAAUGUAUAUAUUGUAUUAUUUUUUUACAUUUUCUCUCAACAUAACAAUUACCAUAGUCACUGUGUAGCCUAUCUCUAUGUUAAUAUGAUAAUUAAAUUAUACAAUUCUCCUGUUCACUUUUAAUGUGUUAGCUUCAGUUCAGGCUCAAAUCUAAGCUUUUAUAGGUUCACGUUAUAAUCAACCAUCUGAACUGAGGAGAACGAGAGUGGAUGACCUGCUGAUAUGUUUUCUUCAGAAAGAAUAGCGUAUUAGAAGUUAGAAGACCACCUGCAAUCUUGUUUUGGCUGUGAUGAAACUAGUCAUAGAUUAUAUUUUUUUUACUGUAAAUCAUACAUGUUGGCACAGUUGAUUUCUUUUACAUUGAUAUAAUAAUCAUCAUAUAGUCUUCUGAUUUAUUGUACGAUCCAUUGAUUACAUGACAUUUGUCUCGUACAAGCAGUUCCAAAUAGAAGUGACUAGAUCGUUUUAUGAUAAAGAUGUGUGAUGCAAGAUGUUUAAGAUGCAUGUUUCAUAGUAAACCUCAAGGAGGAAAUUAUCAGGUUAUGCUCCUCACCCUGCAAUUGCAGGUUUGUGUUAUAAUUAACCAUCUGAUCUGAGAAGAAAGAGAGUGGAUGACCUUUCUGAUAUGCAUUUUUUCAGAAAGAAUAUGGUAUUUGUAGUUAAAUGACCACCUGCAAUCUUGUUUUGGUUGUGAUGAAACUAGUCAUAAGUUAUAUUUUUUUUCUGUAAAUCAUACAUGUUGGUGGAGUUAAUUUCUUUUACAUUUUAUGGUGAUCAUCAUGUAAUCUUCUGAUUUACUGUAAGAUUAAUAGAUCACAUGAUAUUUGUCUCGUACAAGAAGUUCAGGUUAUAAGUGAGUCAGACGGUUUUUUAUGAUAAAGAUGCUUGAUGGAAGUUCUUUAAGAUGCAUUCAGAAUAAUCCCAAAGGAGAGAAAAAUUCAGAUAAUUCUCCUCACCCUGCAAUUGUGCUGAAGAUGGAAGAUAGAAGUGGUCUUCUGCUUCCUAUUGUUGUUUGUUUGUUUUUCCAUCUUUGCUUUAUACGGCUGCUAGUCUUUUCUUCCGCAAAGUGAUCUGACAUUCUUCAUAUUCAGUGCAAAUGCCAAGUUUGCUGUCGAUGGCUACAAUUCGGAAUGUUCCAAUAGAAAGCCCAACAAUUUAUCAAGUAACCAAAGUGAUGAUUGAAGAGCUGGGGUGGGAGGGAAUUUGAAAUCCUUCAUCUUUUCUGUUCUUUGUUAGGAUCACCAAGAGAGUGGAUCAUGUUUACUUUGCUCAGCUACAUCUCUCGAAGGUCAAUCUCAUAAUAAGGUCGGGAAUGUACAGAGAUUCAUAUCUUUGAUUUGCGAGCUUCUGAUGCCAUCAAUUUGGCUAUUCAAUGCAAGGUUUGCUCUGGUCUCAAAAUAGCAUGAAUCUGGGCAAAAUAUAUAUCAUCAAUGCCUAGACAUGAGAAAAUAUUCAACCAAGUUAUUUGCUACUCUUUGUGUGUUUGUGUGUGUGUGUGUGUGAGCAUGAAUCUGGGCAAAAAUAUAUAUCAUCAAUGCCUAGACAUGAGAAAAUAUUCAACCAAGUUAUUUGCUACGCUUUGUGUGUGUGUGUGCGCGCGCGCGCGUGUGUGUGCGCGCGCGCGCGUGUGUGUGUGUGUGAGAGAGUUAUGAAUAUGGGCCAAUCAGUGCGAACCGGAUCGAAAUUUAUUUAAAGCCAAGGUUUUGUGGUGGUAAACACUAACUUGAUAGUGGGCUUGUCUAUAUAUUAGUAUAUUACAUUCUGAAAUUAUUUUGGAGUAGCUGCUGAAAUCAUUUUUUAGUGGUAAGAAUGGUCGGCUGU